ensembl:lncRNA novel transcript
CGGUGGCCACGGUUUCCAGGAAAGAAGAGAGAGGCGGAAAAGUUAACUUUCCGCCACCCACACAAAUAUUUUUGGCCGGCGUUGUCUUCACGCUGCCAAGCCAGGAGGGAGGAGUUGGCAGGAGCACUCCAAUUCAAGGUUCCCUCCCAAGGAGGAAGGAGGACUCCCAACCCAGUCGGGGAGCUUGGGCAGGCCCUAUGCAAGCCUGAGCCCCACAGCACCCACCUCUGUGCAGGAGCUGUGGGGGUCGGGACCCGAAACAAUAAUAGCAGCUGCCACUAACUGAGCACCUGCUAGGUGCUGAACCCAGCCCUUUACCUGACACUCCUGCUGUGUCAGUGCAGUCUAUACAGGAGGAAACUGAGGCACGGAGAGAUUCAUGACCCUCAUCUGGACACAAGCUCUAAAAUACUUGAGCCUUGGCAGAAAUGGCUGAUAGAGUCCACAGAACACGCUGUCCUCAUCUCAGAGAGGAGAACUCUGAACCCAGAGGGGAAGGAUUUACCUGCAGUUGUAUGGCAAGCCAGAGCCUAACCAGCCUAAAGAAACCAUGGGAGGAGAGGCUCUUACCCUCUCCUUUGCAGAUGUGGGCCCGGCUGCCUCACACUCCAGAGCAG